rnacentral:piRNA from 1 species
UGAACCCUGGGCAAGCCACAUGAGCAGU